AUUGAACGCUGGCGGCAUGCCUUACACAUGCAAGUCGAACGGCAGCACGGGGCAACCUGGUGGCGAGUGGCGAACGGGUGAGUAAUGCAUCGGAACGUACCUUUCAGUGGGGGAUAACGUAGCGAAAGUUACGCUAAUACCGCAUAUUCUGUGAGCAGGAAAGCAGGGGAUCGCAAGACCUUGCGCUGAUUGAGCGGCCGAUGUCAGAUUGGCUAGUUUGUGAGGUAAAGGCUCACCAAGGCGACGAUCUGUAGCGGGUCUGAGAGGAUGCUCCGCCACACUGGAACUGAGAAACGGUCCAGACUCCUACGGGAGGGAGCAGUGGGUAAGUUUGGACGAUGGGGGCAACCCUGAUCCAGCCAUGCCGCGUGAGUGCAGAAGGCCUUCGGGUUGUAAAGCUCUUUCGGCCGGGAAGAAAUCGCACGGGCUAAUACCCUGUGUGGAUGACGGUACCGGAAUAAGAAGCACCGGCUAACUACGUGCCAGCCGCCGCCGUAAGAC
rnacentral:rRNA from 1 species